rnacentral:rRNA from 1 species
AGAGUUUGAUCAUGGCUCAGGAUGAACGCUGGCGGCGUGCUUAACACAUGCAAGUCGAACGAUGAAGCCCAGCUUGCUGGGUGGAUUAGUGGCGAACGGGUGAGUAACACGUGAGCAACCUGCCCCUGACUCUGGGAUAAGCGCUGGAAACGGCGUCUAAUACUGGAUAUGUCCCAUCACCGCAUGGUGUGUGGGUGGAAAGAUUUUUCGGUUGGGGAUGGGCUCGCGGCCUAUCAGCUUGUUGGUGAGGUAAUGGCUCACCAAGGCGUCGACGGGUAGCCGGCCUGAGAGGGUGACCGGCCACACUGGGACUGAGACACGGCCCAGACUCCUACGGGAGGCAGCAGUGGGGAAUAUUGCACAAUGGGCGCAAGCCUGAUGCAGCAACGCCGCGUGAGGGAUGACGGCCUUCGGGUUGUAAACCUCUUUUAGCAGGGAAGAAGCGAAAGUGACGGUACCUGCAGAAAAAGCACCGGCUAACUACGUGCCAGCAGCCGCGGUAAUACGUAGGGUGCAAGCGUUAUCCGGAAUUAUUGGGCGUAAAGAGCUCGUAGGCGGUUUGUCGCGUCUGCUGUGAAAUUCCGAGGCUCAACCUCGGGCUUGCAGUGGGUACGGGCAGACUAGAGUGCGGUAGGGGAGAUUGGAAUUCCUGGUGUAGCGGUGGAAUGCGCAGAUAUCAGGAGGAACACCGAUGGCGAAGGCAGAUCUCUGGGCCGUAACUGACGCUGAGGAGCGAAAGGGUGGGGAGCAAACAGGCUUAGAUACCCUGGUAGUCCACCC